CGAACAUGAACUGCACCGAUAAGCCCCCAAGAAAAUGGGUGGUUAAUUACAAGUAAACAAAUAAUUGAAGUCAUUAUACUAUACACGAAGUAAGCAAAUAACAAUCUUCUAUAAAUUGAAGUGGCAAAUAACAAUCUUCUAUAAAUUGAACUGGAAUUAGAUGACAUGGGAAUCACUUCAACAUUAAAAUCAGGAAUUAUAACAGGAAGAAGAACUUCUGUUCAUUGAAAGAAUUUAUCAUCCUAUUUCUGCAAUAAUUAUAUGCACUGUUCGGGAGCGUUUUAACCGACCUCCAAUUGGGCCGAAGGCCUGAUACUAAAAAGGGUUCAUAAGUUCGAUGGACCAAAGACCUCGGAGAUACUGGAGGUGUUCGGGUUUGGUAUCCGAGUCCUUUGGGUCGGAACCUUACGGUAGUGUAUGGUGUUCGGGGUAGGGCCUUCGAGUCCUUUGGACCGAAGCUCAGACCAGUUGGUGAGUUCGGUUGGGUUGGGCCUGUGCAGUGAGUUGUCCUGCGUACAGAGUCUGGAGUCCUAACCGUGUUUGAAUAAGGUAACUCCAAAGGUAGUGUUUGGAUUGGAUUCUACUUCCACCUUUUAAGGAGAUUGUGU
rnacentral:lncRNA from 1 species